UACGUAUGGGGCGAGCGUUGUCCGGAAUUAUUGGGCGUAAAGGGUACGUAGGCGGAUAGGCAAGUUAGAAGUGAAAUCCUAUAGCUCAACUAGAGUAAGCUUUUAAAACUGCUCAACUUGAGGUAUGGAAGGGAAAGUGGAAUUCCUAGUGUAGCGGUGAAAUGCGCAGAUAUUAGGAGGAAUACCGGUGGCGAAGGCGACUUUCUGGACAUUAUCUGACGCUGAGGUACGAAAGCGUGGGUAGCAAACAGG
rnacentral:rRNA from 1 species